rnacentral:rRNA from 1 species
GAUGAACGCUGGCGGCGUGCCUAAUACAUGCAAGUCGAGCGAACAGACGAGGAGCUUGCUCCUUCGACGUUAGCGGCGGACGGGUGAGUAACACGUAGGUAACCUACCUAUAAGACUGGGAUAACUUCGGGAAACCGGAGCUAAUACCGGAUAAUAUUUCGAACCGCAUGGUUCGAUAGUGAAAGACGGCUUUGCUAUCACUUAUAGAUGGACCUGCGCCGUAUUAGCUAGUUGGUAAGGUAACGGCUUACCAAGGCAACGAUACGUAGCCGACCUGAGAGGGUGAUCGGCCACACUAGAACUGAGACACGGUCCAGACUCCUACGGGAGGCAGCAGUAGGGAAUCGUCCGCAAUGGGCGAAAGCCUGACAGAGCAACGCGGCGUGAGUGAUGAAGGUCUUCGGUUCGUAAAACUCUGUUAUUAGGGAAGAACAAACGUGUAAGUAACUGUGCACGUCGUGACGGUACCUAAUCAGAAAGCCACGGCUAACUACGUG